AGGACGAACGCUGGCGGCAUGCCUAAUACAUGCAAGUCGAGCGGAAUGAAGAGAGCUUGCUCUCUGAUUUUAGCGGCGGACGGGUGAGUAACACGUGGGCAACCUGCCCUACAGAUGGGGAUAACUCCGGGAAACCGGGGCUAAUACCGAAUAAUCAGUUUGUCCGCAUGGACAAACUCUGAAAGACGGUUUCGGCUGUCACUGUAGGAUGGGCCCGCGGCGCAUUAGCUAGUUGGUGGGUAAUGGCCUACCAAGGCAACGAUGCGUA
rnacentral:rRNA from 1 species